GACGAACGCUGGCGGCGUGCUUAACACAUGCAAGUCGAACGGAAAGGCCCUGCUUUUGUGGGGUGCUCGAGUGGCGAACGGGUGAGUAACACGUGAGUAACCUGCCCUUGACUUUGGGAUAACUUCAGGAAACUGGGGCUAACACCGGAUAGGAGCUCCUGCUGCAUGGUGGGGGUUGGAAAGUUUCGGCGGUUGGGGAUGGACUCGCGGCUUAUCAGCUUGUUGGUGGGGUAGUGGCUUACCAAGGCUUUGACGGGUAGCCGGCCUGAGAGGGUGACCGGCCACAUUGGGACUGUGAUACGGCCCAGACUCCUACGGGAGGCAGCAGUGGGGAAUAUUGCACAAUGGGCGGAAGCCUGAUGCAGCAACGCCGCGUGCGGGAUGACGGCCUUCGGGUUGUAAACCGCUUUCGCCUGUGACGAAGCGUGAGUGACGGUAAUGGGUAAAGAAGCACCGGCUAACUACGUG
rnacentral:rRNA from 1 species